AGUGAACGCUGGCGGUAGGCCUAACACAUGCAAGUCGAACGGCAGCACAGUAAGAGCUUGCUCUUACGGGUGGCGAGUGGCGGACGGGUGAGAAAUACAUCGGAAUCUACUUUUUCGUGGGGGAUAACGUAGGGAAACUUACGCUAAUACCGCAUACGACCUACGGGUGAAAGCAGGGGAUCUUCGGACCUUGCGCGAUUGAAUGAGCCAAUGUCGGAUUAGCUAGUUGGCGGGGUAAAGGCCCACCAAGGCGACGAUCCGUAGCUGGUCUGAGAGGAUGAUCAGCCACACUGGAACUGAGACACGGUCCAGACUCCUACGGGAGGCAGCAGUGGGGAAUAUUGGACAAUGGGCGCAAGCCUGAUCCAGCCAUACCGCGUGGGUGAAGAAGGCCUUCGGGUUGUAAAGCCCUUUUGUUGGGAAAGAAAAGCAGCAGGUUAAUACCCCGCUGUUCUGACGGUACCCAAAGAAUAAGCACCGGCUAACUUCGUG
rnacentral:rRNA from 1 species